GACGAACGCUGGCGGCGUGCUUAACACAUGCAAGUCGAACGGAAAGGCCCUGCUUUUGUGGGGUGCUCGAGUGGCGAACGGGUGAGUAACACGUGAGUAACCUGCCCUUGACUUUGGGAUAACUUCACGAGACUGGGGCUAAUACCGGAUAGGAGCUCCUGCUGCAUGGUGGGGGUUGGAAAGUUUCGGCGGUUGGGGAUGGACUCGCGGCUUAUCAGCUUGUUGGUGGGGUAGUGGCUUACCAAGGCUUUGACGGGUAGCCGGCCUGAGAGGGUGACCGGCCACAUUGGGACUGAGAUACGGCCCAGACUCCUACGGGAGGCAGCAGUGGGGAAUAUUGCACAAUGGGCGGAAGCCUGAUGCAGCAACGCCGCGUGCGGGAUGACGGCCUUCGGGUUGUAAACCGCUUUCGCCUGUGACGAAGCGUGAGUGACGGUAAUGGGUAAAGAAGCAACGGCUAACUACGUG
rnacentral:rRNA from 1 species